rnacentral:rRNA from 1 species
AGGUAGAGGGCGAUGAGUCUGAAGCCGACGGCUGGCCCAGUGGCGGACGGGUGAGUAACACGUAGGUGACCUAUCCUGAAGAGGGGGAUAACCUCUGGAAACGGGGGCUAAUACCCCAUGGCGUCUGGGCGGAGGGUCCAGAUGAAAGGCUUGGGUGCUUUGGGAGGGGCCUGCGGCCUAUCAGCUGGUUGGUGAGGUAAGGGCUCACCAAGGCGAAGACGGGUCGGGGGCGUGAGAGCGUGGUCCCCCACACUGGCACUGAGACACGGGCCAGACUCCUACGGGAGGCAGCAGUGAGGGAUAUUGCGCAAUGGGGGGAACCCUGACGCAGCGACGCCGCGUGGGCGAAGAAGGCCUUCGGGUUGUAAAGCCCUUUUCUGUGGGAUGAGCAAGGACGGUACCGCAGGAAGAAGUCUCGGCAAACUACGUGCCAGCAGCCGCGGUAACACGUAGGAGGCGAGCGUUAUCCGGAAUUACUGGGCGUAAAGGGCCCGUAGGCGGGCGGUCAAGUCGGCUGUGAAAUCUCCCGGCUCAACUGGGAGGGGGUGGUCGAGACGGGCCGUCUAGGGGGCAGGAGAGGAGAGCGGAAUUCCCGGUGUAGCGGUGGAAUGCGUAGAGAUCGGGAGGAAGGCCGGUGGCGAAGGCGGCUCUCUGGUCUGACCCUGACGCUGAAGGGCGAAAGCGUGGGGAGCGAACAGGAUUAGAUACCCUGGUAGUCCACGCUGUAAACGAUGGAUACUAGGUGUGGGAGGUGAUUGACCCCUUCCGUGCCGGAGGCAACCUGGUAAGUAUCCCGCCUGGGGAGUACGGUCGCAAGGCUAAAACUCAAAGGAAUUGACGGGGGCCCGCACAAGCAGCGGAGCGUGUGGUUUAAUUCGAUGCGACACGAAGAACCUUACCUGGGCUUGACAGGGGCGUGGUAAGGAAGCGAAAGUGGACUGACCCUU